rnacentral:rRNA from 1 species
AACGUAGGACGCAAGCGUUAUCCGGAGUUACUGGGCGUAAAGGGCGGGCAGGCGGCUUGUCAAGUGGGAUGUCAAAGCGCACAGCUUAACUGAGCGAGGGCAUUCCAAACUGAUGAGCUGGAGGGCAGUAGAGGUAGGCGGAAUUCCGGGUGGAGUGGUGAAAUGCGUAGAGAUCCGGAGGAACACCAGAGGCGAAGGCGGCCUACUGGGCUGCACCUGACGCUGAGGCGCGAAAGCCAGGGGAGCGAACGGG